rnacentral:rRNA from 1 species
GUGAGAGGACUUGUUGAAUUUUAUAAAAAGGAAAAGGAUUUUCUAGGAAGAAAAGAAAAAGUAAUUUAAAUUGAAUUUUAAAAAAAGGCUAAAGUGUAGAGUAUUGAGAAAGAAAGUUGAAAGAAGGGGAAUAAAAGUAGGAAGAAAGAAGAGAUAAAAAUUUGUACCUUGUGUAUUAGGGUUAAUCUAGAUUAUCCUUUUAUUUAUGGGAAUCCCGAAAAAAAAAGAGCUAAGGUAAGAAGAAAGUUUUUGUGUUAAAAAAAUUUAGAAUCUUAUUUUUGUAGUGAAAUAUUAGUCGUGUUUUUAUAUCUGGUUUUUUCUGAAAAAAAUUUAAUUUUUUUUUUACUUUGAGAGAAGUAGAAGAAAAGGGUAGGAGGGAAGAGCUUCUUAUCCAAGAAAUGUGUUAAAUAUAAGGAAAUGGAAGGUUUUAGUUAAUUUGAUUAGGCUUAAAAGUGGCCAUAUUGAGAAAGUGUUUAAACUGAUUUUUUUGGUUUAUUAAAAUUUAUGUUUUGUUUGUUUUUAGUAGGAAGAAGAUUUAAUAAAUGGAAGAUUAUUUGUUAAAAUGAUUAAAUUAGUAUAAUUUAUUGUAUUUUGAAAUUAAUUGAAUUUAGAAAAGAGAAGUGAUAAGGAAAAGAAUGGGGGAUUAUUUAGAGGAAUUCGGCAAAAGAAAUCUUCUGCCUGUUUAUCAAAAACAUGUCUCUGUGUGUGGUUUAUAGAGUCUGGCCUGCCCACUGAUUGAAGAAAGAUUAAAGGGCCGCGGUAUAUUGACCGUGCGAAGGUAGCAUAAUCAUUAGUCUUUUAAUUGAAGGCUGGAAUGAAUGGUUUCACAAGAAGUUUACUGUCUUUAAAUUAAGAUUUGAAUUUUACUUUUAAGUGAAAAGGCUUAAAUGUUUUAGGGGGACGAUAAGACCCUAUAAAACUUUACAUAGGAAAAUUAUUUUAAAAAUUGUGUUGUUUAAGGUUAAGAGAGUUCAAAUGUGUUUUGUUGGGGAGACAAGAAUAUAAAAUGAUUAGUAACUGUUCGAAAAUUAGGAGUCAGAUUAUUAUUGAGAAAAAGAAGUGGUCCUUGGAAAAGAUUAAAAGAGUAAGUUACUUUAGGGAUAACAGCGUUAUUUUUUUGGAGAGUUCUUAUCAAUAGAAAAGAUUGCGACCUCGAUGUUGAAUUAAAAUUUCUUUAUAAUGCAGUUGUUAUAAAAGAAAGUCUGUUCGACUUUUAAAAUUUUACAUGAUUUGAGUUCAAACCGGCGUGAGCCAGGUUGGUUUCUAUCUCUUAAAAAAAAAAUAAUCGCUUUAGUACGAGAGGACCAAGUGGUUUAAAUAAUUUGUGGAAUUAGAAUAAAAUU